rnacentral:rRNA from 1 species
ACGGGAGGCAGCAGUGAGGAAUAUUGGUCAAUGGACGAGAGUCUGAACCAGCCAAGUCGCGUGAAGGAAGACGGUUCUAUGGAUUGUAAACUUCUUUUGUCCGAGGGUAAAGUGAGAGAUGCGUCUCUUAUUGCAAGUAUCGGACGAAUAAGCAUCGGCUAACUCCGUGCCAGCAGCCGCGGUAAUACGGAGGAUGCGAGCGUUAUCCGGAUUUAUUGGGUUUAAAGGGUGCGUAGGCGGGAUGUUAAGUCAGCGGUUAAAUAGUGUAGCUCAACUAUACUUUGCCGUUGAAACUGGCGUUCUUGAGUGUAAACGAGGUAGGCGGAAUGUGACGUGUAGCGGUGAAAUGCUUAGAUAUGUCACAGAACCCCGAUUGCGAAGGCAGCUUACCAGGAUACAACUGACGCUGAGGCACGAAAGCGUGGGUAUCAAACAGGAUUAGAUACCCUGGUA